rnacentral:rRNA from 1 species
UACGUAGGGCGCAAGCGUUGUCCGGAAUUAUUGGGCGUAAAGAGCUCGUAGGUGGCUGGUCGCGUCUGCCGUGAAAGCCCGCAGCUUAACUGCGGGUCUGCGGUGGAUACGGGCCGGCUAGAGGUAGGUAGGGGCAAGUGGAAUUCCUGGUGUAGCGGUGAAAUGCGCAGAUACCAGGAGGAACACCGGUGGCGAAGGCGGAUCUCUGGGCCGAUACUGACGCUGAGGAGUGAAAGCGUGGGGAGCGAACAGG